rnacentral:rRNA from 1 species
CGAAUGGCUCAUUAAAUCAGUUAUCGUUUAUUUGAUAGUACCUUACUACUUGGAUAACCGUGGUAAUUCUAGAGCUAAUACAUGCUAAAAACCCCAACUUCGGGAGGGGUGUAUUUAUUAGAUAAAAAACCAAUGCCCUUCGGGGCUCCUUGGUGAUUCAUGAUAACUUCUCAGAUCGCAUAGCCUUGUGCUGGCGACGGUUCAUUCAAAUUUCUGCCCUAUCAACUUUCGAUGGUAAGGUAGUGGCUUACCAUGGUUUCAACGGGUAACGGGGAAUUAGGGUUCGAUUCCGGAGAGGGAGCCUGAGAAACGGCUACCACAUCCAAGGAAGGCAGCAGGCGCGCAAAUUACCCAAUUCCGAUGCGGAGAGGUAGUGACAAUAAAUACUGAUACAGGGCUCUUUUGGGUCUUGUAAUUGGAAUGAGUACAAUUUAAACCUCUUAACGAGGAACAAUUGGAGGGCAAGUCUGGUGCCAGCAGCCGCGGUAAUUCCAGCUCCAAUAGCGUAUAUUAAAGUUGUUGCAGUUAAAAAGCUCGUAGUUGAACCUUUGGCCUGGCUGGCAGGUCCGCCUCACCGCGUGCACUUGUCCGGCCGGGCCUUUUCUUCUGGAGAACCGCAUGCCCUUCACUGGGUGUGUUGGGGACCAGGACUUUUACUUUGAAAAAAUUAGAGUGUUCAAAGCAGGCCUUUGCUCGAAUACGUUAGCAUGGAAUAAUAGAAUAGGACGUGCGGUCCUAUUUUGUUGGUUUCUAGGACCGCCGUAAUGAUUAAUAGGGACAGUCGGGGGCAUCAGUAUUCAAUUGUCAGAGGUGAAAUUCUUGGAUUUAUUGAAGACUAACUACUGCGAAAGCAUUUGCCAAGGAUGUUUUCAUUAAUCAGUGAACGAAAGUUAGGGGAUCGAAGACGAUCAGAUACCGUCGUAGUCUUAACCAUAAACUAUGCCGACUAGGGAUCGGGCGGUGUUUCUAUUGUGACCCGCUCGGCACCUUACGAGA